GAACAUUAUAUAAAAAUAUAAUAAAGACAAGAAUUUAAAUGCAUAAGUUAAAGGAAAAAAAUUAAGGCAAAAAUUUAAAAGCAUAAAUAAAAUCGGAGGCCUAGCCUACCACAUGAUCCGAAGAGACAUAAUCUACCAUAUUGAUCAUCUUUCAUUCAAAAAGGCAACGCCUUCUGUAUGGUCCAAGGAUACAUAUCUACCAUUUGACCAUUUUUAUUAACGGAGGAAAAACCUUCCACAUGGUUUGAAUAGACAUCGUCUACCAUUUUGACAAUUUCUUAUUCGCUGUGGUAAAGCCUACUACAUAGUUGUAAUACCCCGUCUUCAUGAAAAAAAAAAUUUUUAAAUAAACAAUUCAAAUAAUUAUUUUGAGAAAUUUAAACGAGUUUUUAAUUUAUUCUCGAACAUAAAUUUUUCUGGAGAUAAAAUACGGAGCUCAAAAUAGUAUCGACGAUAAAUGGAAUCGUCAGAAUUUUAACUACAGUUUAAUGUUGUGAUUCAAUGUCAUUAAAAGUAAGUCAAUAGCUUAACUUGAUAAUUAAGCAAUUUUUUUGAAAGAGUAAGGUAACCAAUGAGAAUGGAGUCUUGGCCACCAAAUUUGGAUUAAUUAAUCAUCCUUAAAAAAAAAGAGAAGGAGGACAUGUCAAAUAAGAAGGGAAGGUGAUGAUUAAUUUAAUUAUCAUGCAACAUGCCCACAUGGUUAAAGAAUGAAGCAAGAAAAGAAAUAAGUGAUUACUCAUUGGUUUAAUGAGUAUGUGGCCUUGUUAUAAAAGAAGCAAGUGAUGCUUUGAAGAUUAGUCAUCUGAACGUGGCAUGAAGCACAAAUGCCUUUGAAGCUUAGUCAUGUUUUCUUAAAUAUGGUCAAUGGAGAGUAUGACAUAUUUCACAAUGUUAUACAUCAAGGUUGACUGUAAAAAGAGGCUGAACUUUCUUUAACUUUAAGAUCAGCGACCAAGAGAGAAGAAGAGAGAGAAAGAAGAGAAAAUAAAUAAAAAGAAAAGAAAGAAAAGAGCAAACAAAAAAUAAUGUAUAUAGUAUUAGAGAGUUACUAAAAGAAUCAUGACGAGUUAAACUACGAGAUUACGGGGUUAAUAUUAUGGAGUCAAGACGAAGGUUUGGAGUGGAUAAAAAAGGUUUGGUCAACUUUCGGAAUCAGAAAGUCAAGCCACAUCGGUUAAUCACUGUGAGUUACGGUUAAUUGUUUGUUAAUAAAUUUUAAUGCAGGUUCCUGACAUUAGAGACAAUUUUCGACCUAUAAAAGCCAGACCGGUCUAGGUGUCAGUUUGUGAUUCCG
rnacentral:lncRNA from 1 species